rnacentral:rRNA from 1 species
GUGCAGCCGCCGCGGUAAUACGGAGGGUGCAAGCGUUGUCCGGAAUCAUUGGGUGUAAAGGGUGCGUAGGCGGGAGCCUAAGUCUGUGGUGAAAUCUUGCCGCUUAACGGUAAAAUUGCCAUGGAUACUGGGUUUCUUGAGUACAGAAGAGGUCGGUGGAAUUCGUAGUGUAGCGGUGAAAUGCAUAGAUAUUACGAAGGACACCAGUGGCGAAGGCGGCCGGCUGGACUGUAACUGACGCUGAGGCACGAAAGCGUGGGGAGCGAACAGGAUUAGAAACCCCUGUAGUCC